UCCCUGGUGGCUUAGUGGUAAAGAAUCUGCCCGCCAAUGCAGGAGAUACAGGUUCGAUUCCUGGUCUGGGAA
rnacentral:tRNA from 1 species